rnacentral:rRNA from 1 species
AGCGUACACGGUGGAUGCCCUGGCAGUCAGAGGCGAUGAAGGACGUGCUAAUCUGCGAUAAGCGUCGGUAAGGUGAUAUGAACCGUUAUAACCGGCGAUUUCCGAAUGGGGAAACCCAGUGUGAUUCGUCACACUAUCAUUAACUGAAUCCAUAGGUUAAUGAGGCGAACCGGGGGAACUGAAACAUCUAAGUACCCCGAGGAAAAGAAAUCAACCGAGAUUCCCCCAGUAGCGGCGAGCGAACGGGGAGCAGCCCAGAGCCUGAAUCAGUGUGUGUGUUAGUGGAAGCGUCUGGAAAGGCGCGCGAUACAGGGUGACAGCCCCGUACACAAAAAUGCACAUACUGUGAGCUCGAUGAGUAGGGCGGGACACGUGGUAUCCUGUCUGAAUAUGGGGGGACCAUCCUCCAAGGCUAAAUACUCCUGACUGACCGAUAGUGAACCAGUACCGUGAGGGAAAGGCGAAAAGAACCCCGGCGAGGGGAGUGAAAAAGAACCUGAAACCGUGUACGUACAAGCAGUGGGAGCACGCUUAGGCGUGUGACUGCGUACCUUUUGUAUAAUGGGUCAGCGACUUAUAUUCUGUAGCAAGGUUAACCGAAUAGGGGAGCCGAAGGGAAACCGAGUCUUAACUGGGCGUUAAGUUGCAGGGUAUAGACCCGAAACCCGGUGAUCUAGCCAUGGGCAGGUUGAAGGUUGGGUAACACUAACUGGAGGACCGAACCGACUAAUGUUGAAAAAUUAGCGGAUGACUUGUGGCUGGGGGUGAAAGGCCAAUCAAACCGGGAGAUAGCUGGUUCUCCCCGAAAGCUAUUUAGGUAGCGCCUCGUGAAUUCAUCUCCGGGGGUAGAGCACUGUUUCGGCAAGGGGGUCAUCCCGACUUACCAACCCGAUGCAAACUGCGAAUACCGGAGAAUGUUAUCACGGGAGACACACGGCGGGUGCUAACGUCCGUCGUGAAGAGGGAAACAACCCAGACCGCCAGCUAAGGUCCCAAAGUCAUGGUUAAGUGGGAAACGAUGUGGGAAGGCCCAGACAGCCAGGAUGUUGGCUUAGAAGCAGCCAUCAUUUAAAGAAAGCGUAAUAGCUCACUGGUCGAGUCGGCCUGCGCGGAAGAUGUAACGGGGCUAAACCAUGCACCGAAGCUGCGGCAGCGACGCUUAUGUGUUGUUGGGUAGGGGAGCGUUCUGUAAGCCUGUGAAGGUGUGCUGUGAGGUAUGCUGGAGGUAUCAGAAGUGCGAAUGCUGACAUAAGUAACGAUAAAGCGGGUGAAAAGCCCGCUCGCCGGAAGACCAAGGGUUCCUGUCCAACGUUAAUCGGGGCAGGGUGAGUCGACCCCUAAGGCGAGGCCGAAAGGCGUAGUCGAUGGGAAACAGGUUAAUAUUCCUGUACUUGGUGUUACUGCGAAGGGGGGACGGAGAAGGCUAUGUUGGCCGGGCGACGGUUGUCCCGGUUUAAGCGUGUAGGCUGGUUUUCCAGGCAAAUCCGGAAAAUCAAGGCUGAGGCGUGAUGACGAGGCACUACGGUGCUGAAGCAACAAAUGCCCUGCUUCCAGGAAAAGCCUCUAAGCAUCAGGUAACAUCAAAUCGUACCCCAAACCGACACAGGUGGUCAGGUAGAGAAUACCAAGGCGCUUGAGAGAACUCGGGUGAAGGAACUAGGCAAAAUGGUGCCGUAACUUCGGGAGAAGGCACGCUGAUAUGUAGGUGAAGUCCCUCGCGGAUGGAGCUGAAAUCAGUCGAAGAUACCAGCUGGCUGCAACUGUUUAUUAAAAACACAGCACUGUGCAAACACGAAAGUGGACGUAUACGGUGUGACGCCUGCCCGGUGCCGGAAGGUUAAUUGAUGGGGUCAGCGCAAGCGAAGCUCUUGAUCGAAGCCCCGGUAAACGGCGGCCGUAACUAUAACGGUCCUAAGGUAGCGAAAUUCCUUGUCGGGUAAGUUCCGACCUGCACGAAUGGCGUAAUGAUGGCCAGGCUGUCUCCACCCGAGACUCAGUGAAAUUGAACUCGCUGUGAAGAUGCAGUGUACCCGCGGCAAGACGGAAAGACCCCGUGAACCUUUACUAUAGCUUGACACUGAACAUUGAGCCUUGAUGUGUAGGAUAGGUGGGAGGCUUUGAAGUGUGGACGCCAGUCUGCAUGGAGCCGACCUUGAAAUACCACCCUUUAAUGUUUGAUGUUCUAACGUUGACCCGUAAUCCGGGUUGCGGACAGUGUCUGGUGGGUAGUUUGACUGGGGCGGUCUCCUCCUAAAGAGUAACGGAGGAGCACGAAGGUUGGCUAAUCCUGGUCGGACAUCAGGAGGUUAGUGCAAUGGCAUAAGCCAGCUUGACUGCGAGCGUGACGGCGCGAGCAGGUGCGAAAGCAGGUCAUAGUGAUCCGGUGGUUCUGAAUGGAAGGGCCAUCGCUCAACGGAUAAAAGGUACUCCGGGGAUAACAGGCUGAUACCGCCCAAGAGUUCAUAUCGACGGCGGUGUUUGGCACCUCGAUGUCGGCUCAUCACAUCCUGGGGCUGAAGUAGGUCCCAAGGGUAUGGCUGUUCGCCAUUUAAAGUGGUACGCGAGCUGGGUUUAGAACGUCGUGAGACAGUUCGGUCCCUAUCUGCCGUGGGCGCUGGAGAACUGAGGGGGGCUGCUCCUAGUACGAGAGGACCGGAGUGGACGCAUCACUGGUGUUCGGGUUGUCAUGCCAAUGGCACUGCCCGGUAGCUAAAUGCGGAAGAGAUAAGUGCUGAAAGCAUCUAAGCACGAAACUUGCCCCGAGAUGAGUUCUCCCUGACUCCUUGA